GCCCUUGGUGGCUCAGAUGGUUAGAGCGUCUGCCCUGAAAGCAAGGGAUCCCGGGUUCGAGUCCCGGUCGGGGCA